GAUGAACGCUGGCGGCGUGCCUAAUACAUGCAAGUCGAGCGAACGGACGAGAAUCUUGCUUUUCUGAUGUUAGCGGCGGACGGGUGAGUAACACGUGAAUAACCUACCUAUAAGACUGGGAUAACUUCGGGAAACCGGAGCUAAUACCGGAUAAUAUUUUGAACCGCAUGGUUCAAAAGUGAAAGACGGUCUUGCUGUCACUUAUAGAUGGAUCCGCGCUGCAUUAGCUAGUUGGUAAGGUAACGGCUUACCAAGGCAACGAUGCAUAGCCGACCUGAGAGGGUGAUCGGCCACACUGGAACUGAGACACGGUCCAGACUCCUACGGGAGGCAGCAGUAGGGAAUCUUCCGCAAUGGGCGAAAGCCUGACGGAGCAACGCCGCGUGAGGGAUGAAGGUCUUCGGAUCGUAAAACUCUGUUAUUAGGGAAGAACAUAUGUGUAAGUAACUGUGCACAUCUUGACGGUACCUAAUCAGAAAGCCACGGCUAACUACGUG
rnacentral:rRNA from 1 species